UAAAUUCUCUAGUGGCGCACGGGUGAGUAACACGUGAGGUAACCUGCCCCCGAGAGCGGGAUAGCCCUGGGAAACUGGGAUUAAUACCGCAUAGUAUCGAAAGAUUAAAGCAGCAAUGCGCUUGGGGAUGGGCUCGCGGCCUAUUAGUUAGUUGGUGAGGUAACGGCUCACCAAGGCGAUGACGGGUAGCCGGUCUGAGAGGAUGUCCGGCCACACUGGAACUGAGACACGGUCCAGACACCUACGGGAGGCAGCAG
rnacentral:rRNA from 1 species